rnacentral:rRNA from 1 species
GAUGAACGCUGGCGGCGUGCUUAACACAUGCAAGUCGAGCGAGAAGUUUUGAAAAGAUUCUUCGGAUGAAAUUUAAAAUGGAAAGCGGCGGACGGGUGAGUAACGCGUAGGCAACCUGCCCCAUACAAAGGGAUAGCAUUUGGAAACGAAUAUUAAUACCUUAUGAAACUUAACUAGUGCAUGCUAGGUAGGUCAAAGAUUUAUCGGUAUGGGAUGGGCCUGCGUCUGAUUAGCUAGUUGGUGAGGUAACGGCUCACCAAGGCGACGAUCAGUAGCCGAGCUGAGGAGGUGAACGGCCACAUUGGAACUGAGGCACGGUCCAAACUCCUACGGGAGGCAGCGGUGGCGUAUAUUGCCCAAUGGGGGUAACCCUGAUGCAGCUACGCCGCGUGAACGAUGAAGGCCUUUGGGUCGUAAAGUUCUGUUUUAGGGGAUGAAAACUGACAGUAACCUAGGAGAAAGCCCCGGCUAACUCCGUG